AUUGAACGCUGGCGGCAUGCCUUACACAUGCAAGUCGAACGGCAGCACGGGAGCAAUCCUGGUGGCGAGUGGCGAACGGGUGAGUAAUGUAUCGGAACGUGCCCAGUCGUGGGGGAUAACGCAGCGAAAGCUGUGCUAAUACCGCAUACGAUCUAUGGAUGAAAGCGGGGGAUCGCAAGACCUCGCGCGAUUGGAGCGGCCGAUAUCAGAUUAGGUAGUUGGUGGGGUAAAGGCCCACCAAGCCUGCGAUCUGUAGCGGGUCUGAGAGGACGAACAGUCACACUGGAACUGAGACACGGUCCAGACUCCUACGGGAGGCAGCAGUGGGGAAUUUUGGACAAUGGGCGCAAGCCUGAUCCAGCAAUGCCGCGUGCAGGAUGAAGGCCUUCGGGUUGUAAACUGCUUUUGUACGGAGCGAAACGGCUCUCACUAAUACUGGGGGCUAAUGACGGUACCGUAAGAAUAAGCACCGGCUAACUACGUGCCAGCCGCCGCAGUAA
rnacentral:rRNA from 1 species